GGGUGAUUAGCUCAGUGGUAGAGCACUGCCUUCACACGGCAGGGGUCGCAGGUUCAAACCCUGCAUCACCCACCA
rnacentral:tRNA from 6 species